rnacentral:rRNA from 1 species
GAUGAACGCUGGCGGCGUGCCUAACACAUGCAAGUCGAGCGAACAGACGAUGAGUUUGCUCCUCUCACGUUAGCGGCGGACGGGUGAGUAACACGUGGAUAACCCACCUAUAAGACUGGGAUAACUUCGGGAAACCGGAGCUAAUACCGGAUAAUAUAUUGAACCGCAUGGUUCAAUAGUGAAAGACGGUUUUGCUGUCACUUAUAGAUGGAUCCGCGCUGCAUUAGCUAGUUGGUAGGGUAACGGCCUACCAAGGCAACCAUGCGUAGCCGACCGGCGAGGGUGAUCGGGCACGCUGGAGCUGAGACGCGGUCCAGAGUCCUACGGGAGGCAGCAGUUGGGAAUCUUCCGCAAUGGGCGGAAGCCUGACGGAGCGGCGCCACGUGAGUGAAGAAAGUCUUCGGAGCGGAAGACUGUGUUAUUGGGGAAGAACAGAUGUGUAAGUAACUAUGCGCGUCUUGACGGUACCUAGUCAGGAAGCCACGGCUAACUACGUG